GUGCAGCUCACUGUGACAUCAUGGAGGAAUCUCUUACCCUGGGCUGCAGGAAAGGAGAAGCAGCUUAACUAAAGCCCCUUCCUGCUUCCUCUUCCAGUGGCCACUGAUCAAACAAGCUUCACUCACUUCAGUCGAAUGACAUUAGUCAAAUGAAAUGACACUUUCAGGUCAGAACAGUUGAGACAAAAGUGUGGGAAAGAAGGAGGGCUAAAAUAUUUAGGGUCUAGAUGGGGUCCCGAAGUGGGUGUUGUCACAAAGGGCCAAAAUAAGUCAUACACAUGAUUUAGCAGUGAAGACGGCAAUUCCCUGAAACCAUGUGCGGCUUCUUCUGUCUCACUUCCAUUCAACAGAUGUUCAUUUAUUGAGCACAUGUAACAGGAGCAAUGUUGGGAACUGGAAGGAGGAAAUGCAAUAUAUCUGAAGAGAAGUAAGCACAAAGUCUGCUUAAAGUAGCUUGAAGACAGAAAAAUCAGAAAAGCAAUCCAGUAAGCAUUUAUCACUGGAUGCAAAAAUAGAGAUGAAAAAUUGCCCUUCAAGGAGCUUAUGUUCUACUGAAGGAGACUGUAAGUAAAUAGAACUAAUUCCGGGCACAAAAGUGAAGGCUCCGCCAUCGCUGCCUCUUUCACCGCUCCCUUUGUCCUGGCUUUUGAUGUGCACUGAAGAGCCCGGCCUGUGUUGGGGGCUCUUCAUCUCCAGUUCAUUGCCUGCCAUUAACAUACAUAUCCAUAUGAAAAGUGGGGUGCUAAAUAAUGCCUGUCUCCCAUUAAGCCAAAGUGAAGAACUCCCUCCCAGAAUCUUCCCAGCAGAUGUUCUUGAAGUUAUUCUAAGCCCAGCGAUUGCACGCUCUAAGUUCUGAGACUGGCCCUGGCUUAGCUGCUGACAAUGGCCAACGUACUAAAAGUUAUCCAAAGGAAGAGCUCGACAGGCCCAGAACACUGGAAGGUACAACAUCUUACAAAGACGACCAAACAGAUUUUUGGAAAUUAGUUUUGCGAACUUAAGCUAGACUUUUAUUUUUAAGGGAAGUGAUGAGGUUUUUUUUAUUCAUUCGUUCAUUUCACAAGCAUUUAUGCUUUUGAACAUACAAUGAUACAUUUUCUAGAAAGGUGACCUCUUUGCUACUCAAUCCCAAAGUAGAUGAUUUUGGCGAGUUCCAAAGGCCAUCAUCCACAGGGAAUCCAGGGGGGAAAAAAGAUGAUUCUGCAAGUGGAUAUAUGACUAUUUGUCUUCUGUUCAAGAGUAAGUUUUCCUUCCAGAAGAGGCUCUGAAAGCCAGAAGGCGGAGAGGUGGAGAGAUUUAAAAUUAAUGAAUAAGAAGUCCCUUCCCCAUCAUUUGGUCUGUGGCUUAGUUUUGUCAACCUCAGAAAGAAGCCUCGGGGUUGAUAAAUGCCUUUCCCCCGCCCCCCCCCCCUGGAGUUCAUGAUCCUGAGGCCAUCUUUUAGAAUGCUGCUGCACCCUAGGUUUGCCGGGCCUUCCAGGGAAAAUGAGGAUGGGUGAAGCUGUGUCAAUUACCAAGGGCUUGACAGAGUUUACAAGAGUUUUUGUGUGUGGUAUUGUUUUGUGCUCUCUCUCACUCUCUUUUUUUUUUAAUCGGAAGCAAAGUGC